rnacentral:miRNA from 1 species
UGUGUGGGUGUGUGUGUGUGAGUGUGUGUGUGUGUGUGUGUGUGUGCGUGUGCAUCGCAUGCACACACACACAUGGC